GACGAACGCUGGCGGCGUGCCUAACACAUGCAAGUCGAACGGAACGGACCUGCUCUUGUGCGGUGCUGGAGUGGCGCACGCGUGAGUAACACGCGAGUAUCCUGCCCUUGACUUUGGGAUAAAUUCAGGAAACUGGGGCUAAUAUCGGAUAGGAGAUCCUGCAGCACGGUGGGGGUUGGAAAGUGUCGGCGGUUGGGGAUGGACUCGCGGCUGAUCAGCGUGUUGGUGGGGUAGUGGCUUACCAAGGCUUUGCCGGGUAGCCGGCCUGAGAGGGUGACCGGCCACAGUGUGACUGAGGUACGGCCCAGACGCCUACGGGCGGCAUCGGUGGAGAAUAUUGCACGAUGGGCCGAGGCCGGAUGCAACGACGUCGCGUGCGGGAUGACUGCUUUCGGGGUAGAAGCCGCUUUGGUCUAUGACGAAGCGGGAGUGACGGUACCGAGUGAAGAAGCACCGGCUAACUACGUG
rnacentral:rRNA from 1 species